GACGAACGCUGGCGGCGUGCUUAACACAUGCAAGUCGAACGCUGAAGCACCAGCUUGCUGGUGUGGAUGAGUGGCGAACGGGUGAGUAAUACGUGAGUAACCUGCCCUUGACUCUGGGAUAAGCCCGGGAAACUGGGUCUAAUACUGGAUGCUACAUGUCACCGCAUGGUGGUGUGUGGAAAGGGUUUACUGGUCUUGGAUGGGCUCACGGCCUAUCAGCUUGUUGGUGAGGUAAUGGCUCACCAAGGCGACGACGGGUAGCCGGCCUGAGAGGGUGACCGGCCACACUGGGACUGAGACACGGCCCAGACUCCUACGGGAGGCAGCAGUGGGGAAUAUUGCACAAUGGGCGAAAGCCUGAUGCAGCGACGCCGCGUGAGGGAUGACGGCCUUCGGGUUGUAAGCCUCUUUCAGCAGGGAAGAAGCCACAAGUGACGGUACCUGCAGAAGAAGCGCCGGCUAACUACGUG
rnacentral:rRNA from 1 species